rnacentral:rRNA from 1 species
UACGGGAGGGGCGAGUGUUGUUCGGAGUUACUGGGCGUAAAGGGUGUGUAGGCGGUUCUUUAAGUUUGUUGUGAAAUCUCCCGGCUUAACCGGGAGGGUGCGGCGAAUACUGAGGGACUAGAGUAUGGGAGAGGAAAGUGGAAUUCCUGGUGUAGCGGUGAAGUGCGUAGAUAUCAGGAGGAACACCGGUGGUGUAGACGGCUUUCUGGACCAUAACUGACGCUGAGACACGAAAGCGUGGGUAG